UUGGAAUUUCAAAUAAAAAGAUAGAGAAGAAACUAGUCAAAGAACCAUGCACAUUGUUGCCAUCAUCACUUGAUGUUAGUGCAGGUGGUAAAACUAAGGAUGUUCAAGGAGACCUGCCAAAUUUCCCACUUAGUUUUACCUUGUAUAUCACAUAUUUUCUGAGGCUGUCUUUGUUGUUCUUUGUUUGUAGUUUUAUGUCUUAUAUGUACUAUCUUAGUCUGAGGCUGUCUAGACUGUAAUACAGUACAGGCAAUUUCUUAUCAUCUUUUUUUAAUACAAUCUUGUUUGGUUGGGAUUGAAAUGAUAGUGUUUAUGUGAGAAUAGAAAUAGAAUGGGAAAUAAAUAUCAAUUCUUUUGUUUGGUUGAAA